CUGUCUUUCUUUUUCUUUUUCUCUCUGUCUCUGUCUCUAUUCUGUGCUCAAGGACUACCCCAAAAGCAAGUGACAUACUUGCAGGGUCGUCUUUCCUUACUUGCCCCCAAGGAUAGGGGUCUUUGGCAUCUGAAGGACUGCUGGUCAGGGAGCAGGGUCAGGAGCCAUCCGUGACACACCAAAGGGCACUUUGCGUGUCACCGCGGGCCAUGUGAGGAUUACAGUGGGUAGACUGUGUCAUUAUUCAUAAUUUAAAUGUUUAUUUUUCCUCUAAAUUAUAAGCUUCUGGUGUAGAUAGUAAAGUGUACUCUUUAUAACUCUAAUUCAAUGUUUGCUGUAAAUGAAUGGAUAAGUGUAAUCUUUGUUUGCUGAAGUUUGUCAUAUAGGACUGCUGUGGAUUGGCUUUGUUUGUUUUGAAACGUUCCCUUAACGUUCUCUGUGGUGUUGAGAUUUAUCAGGAGCACAGAAUGUUUCUUGUGUCACUUGGUGAAUUUGGCUGGACAUAUUUUUAUUUUGGACAUAUUUUUGAAAAUCAAACUGUAGGUCCAUGAUUUUAAAACACUCUUCAGUUUUGCUGUUGUUUUUGGCUUCCAGAGACAAGACUGAUAGCAGCAUGCUUUGGAAUGUGUGUCAUUGUCUUUAGGAUUCCAAGAUUCUGCCAUCGCUGCUGCUGCCGUCCAUGUGUCUGUGAUGGCUGGUGGGAACAGCACUUUCCUUUUGUGGGAAGAUGGUGUGGUGUGCAGUAGUGGUCACUGUUGGAGAGAUGUUUAUGUCUUGUACAUGAAGAGCUGCUCUCCCUCUGAUAGCUGCCUGCCAAGCGGCUCCAUCCAUCAUUGAGAGCGGGCACCACACGGCUCACUGCCCCAAGCAUCUUAGACUAAACACCAGCUAGAAUGUGGAGUUAGGCAAUCAAGUGUGAAACUUAACUUGUACUUGUCUUAGAAGCAGCAAAGGCAGCUGGGCCAGCUGAUAGACAAGGAACGCUGUCCUCCCAGAACCAGCCACGGGUGCAGAUGAUGGGCACUGCGGAGCCUGCUGUCUUACAGAAGCUGAUCCUGGAGGGUGCCUUUCAAUCCUCGAUGUCAGGAGGUUUUCUUUUAGAAAACAAUCUGAUUCAGAAUAAUGACUGCAAUUUUUCACUGGAUGGAAAACAAGUCUAGAGGAAUUGACCCUUAUUUUAAGUUCAAAGAUAGUAUAUCCUUGUUACUACUGUUACAUGUUUUAUAGCCAAUCUUCAAGACCACCUCUGGGCAAUGAAGUUAUUUGUGAUGGAAACACUUAGGUUCUUGAUUAAGUGAAUAUUAAAAAAAAAUCACUAUCAGAGAAAAGUAUACCUGAUACAAUGACUAGAACUGAAAAAUUAUGAACAAAUAGCAAAACAAUUAGUACUAUUUGACAAAAAGAAGUAAUCACCAAUAUAAAACUUUGGUAUGAUGUUCUAAACAUACGAAUAUCCACUUUUUAGCCAAACAUAAUGAUGCUUCUUUUGACACUGACUAUCCAACAUUUCUUGAGAAGAGUGGAUAGUUUCUAAGUCUAGAAGACAUGAUUUUGGAAUUUGAAGCUAGAAUGUCUGAACAUGUAGUACAGAUUAAAAAAAAACAAAUUAAAACUAUCUAGAAUGGCAAAAUAAAAAUGAAAUUAUCUUUUAAUGCAUAAUGA